rnacentral:rRNA from 1 species
GGGACACGUGGUAUCCUGUCUGAAUAUGGGGGGACCAUCCUCCAAGGCUAAAUACUCCUGACUGACCGAUAGUGAACCAGUACCGUGAGGGAAAGGCGAAAAGAACCCCGGCGAGGGGAGUGAAAAAGAACCUGAAACCGUGUACGUACAAGCAGUGGGAGCCUCUUUUAUGGGGUGACUGCGUACCUUUUGUAUAAUGGGUCAGCGACUUAUAUUCUGUAGCAAGGUUAACCGAAUAGGGGAGCCGAAGGGAAACCGAGUCUUAACUGGGCGUUAAGUUGCAGGGUAUAGACCCGAAACCCGGUGAUCUAGCCAUGGGCAGGUUGAAGGUUGGGUAACACUAACUGGAGGACCGAACCGACUAAUGUUGAAAAAUUAGCGGAUGACUUGUGGCUGGGGGUGAAAGGCCAAUCAAACCGGGAGAUAGCUGGUUCUCCCCGAAAGCUAUUUAGGUAGCGCCUCGUGAAUUCAUCUCCGGGGGUAGAGCACUGUUUCGGCAAGGGGGUCAUCCCGACUUACCAACCCGAUGCAAACUGCGAAUACCGGAGAAUGUUAUCACGGGAGACACACGGCGGGUGCUAACGUCCGUCGUGAAGAGGGAAACAACCCAGACCGCCAGCUAAGGUCCCAAAGUCAUGGUUAAGUGGGAAACGAUGUGGGAAGGCCCAGACAGCCAGGAUGUUGGCUUAGAAGCAGCCAUCAUUUAAAGAAAGCGUAAUAGCUCACUGGUCGAGUCGGCCUGCGCGGAAGAUGUAACGGGGCUAAACCAUGCACCGAAGCUGCGGCAGCGACGCUUAUGCGUUGUUGGGUAGGGGAGCGUUCUGUAAGCCUGUGAAGGUGUACUGUGAGGUAUGCUGGAGGUAUCAGAAGUGCGAAUGCUGACAUAAGUAACGAUAAAGCGGGUGAAAAGCCCGCUCGCCGGAAGACCAAGGGUUCCUGUCCAACGUUAAUCGGGGCAGGGUGAGUCGACCCCUAAGGCGAGGCCGAAAGGCGUAGUCGAUGGGAAACAGGUUAAUAUUCCUGUACUUGGUGUUACUGCGAAGGGGGGACGGAGAAGGCUAUGUUGGCCGGGCGACGGUUGUCCCGGUUUAAGCGUGUAGGCUGGUUUUCCAGGCAAAUCCGGAAAAUCAAGGCUGAGGCGUGAUGACGAGGCACUACGGUGCUGAAGCAACAAAUGCCCUGCUUCCAGGAAAAGCCUCUAAGCAUCAGGUAACAUCAAAUCGUACCCCAAACCGACACAGGUGGUCAGGUAGAGAAUACCAAGGCGCUUGAGAGAACUCGGGUGAAGGAACUAGGCAAAAUGGUGCCGUAACUUCGGGAGAAGGCACGCUGAUAUGUAGGUGAAGCGACUUGCUCGUGGAGCUGAAAUCAGUCGAAGAUACCAGCUGGCUGCAACUGUUUAUUAAAAACACAGCACUGUGCAAACACGAAAGUGGACGUAUACGGUGUGACGCCUGCCCGGUGCCGGAAGGUUAAUUGAUGGGGUUAGCGGUAACGCGAAGCUCUUGAUCGAAGCCCCGGUAAACGGCGGCCGUAACUAUAACGGUCCUAAGGUAGCGAAAUUCCUUGUCGGGUAAGUUCCGACCUGCACGAAUGGCGUAAUGAUGGCCAGGCUGUCUCCACCCGAGACUCAGUGAAAUUGAACUCGCUGUGAAGAUGCAGUGUACCCGCGGCAAGACGGAAAGACCCCGUGAACCUUUACUAUAGCUUGACACUGAACAUUGAGCCUUGAUGUGUAGGAUAGGUGGGAGGCUUUGAAGUGUGG